UACGUAGGGGCCAAGCGUUGUCCGGAUUUAUUGGGCGUAAAGAGCUCGUAGGCGGUUCGGCAAGUCAGCUGUGAAAUCUCCACGCUCAACGUGGAGGGGUCAGCUGAUACUGCUGUGACUUGAGUCCGGUAGGGGAGUGUGGAAUUCCCGGUGUAGCGGUGAAAUGCGCAGAUAUCAGGAAGAACACCCGUGGCUAAGGCGGUUCUCUAGUACGGUACUGACGCUGAGACGCGAAAGCGUGGGGAGCGAACAGG
rnacentral:rRNA from 1 species